CAUUUCGUCUUUGUUGGACCUCCAUUAUUCUGACCACCAAUUGUCAUCAUGGCUUUCUAUUGCUCUGACCUGAACCACCCCAACCCAAUCUACCUCUUUAGUUGACUUAAUGUAGCUUUGCUGCUGAGUAGUGUAUUGGUGAAUGAGAUGAUAUUUUCUUGUAAAUCUGCAAUCUGCCAUUGAACAAACCACAACACCAUGAUUUUUAAAUGUUGGUGGCUAAAUAUAUCUGAUGUGUAACUUGUUUUGAUCGUGUAAAAUCAUGGCAAGGUUGCAGUUACGUUCUUUACUUUGAGAUACCCUAUUAGAAGUGAUCAUUGCUUGUUUUUAUGCUACGAUAUGCUAUUUUCACCAGCAUUUGUUGCAGAGUUCAUGAGUAUCUACAAGGUUUUCGUUAUUGCAACAUUUGGUUAAACAAACCCGAGGGGAAUGGACCCUCCAAAUAUCCAAACCUAAAAAUUGUCAAAGCCUUGUGCAGAUGGAGCAUUUGUUCUAAUUAAGAGAGAUGAAAGAAGACGAAAUGAGUUAAGAGAGAUGAAAGAAGACAUUUGUUCUAAUUAUUGAAGAUUUUAAACAACAUUUGUAAGUAACACUGACUACAAAUGGGAUUUUAAAGAAAUUGUAGAAGAUAGUGAGGGGUAUCUAUUUGAGUCUCUUAGAAAUGGGGGGAUGUACUGAUCAAGUCUGAGUUUUAGUAUCUACAAUGCGGUGUAUGAUUCCGCCACGUCAUGGCUUGGCUGAACUUGGUCAGACUUGGGCAACUCUAGCCAUCUAUGUUGAUUUUGGCAAUUCAAGUAGAGGAAGAGGCACAAUCCUUGAAGGCAAGGUCUGUGGCUGGAAACUUGUAUUAUUUAUUAGGAGAAAGAAGCUUUAAGAAGGCUGGGUGUUUACAGAAACGUUCAAGCAUCUAAACAUUGUUGACUACAUUGAGCAGCUUUAAGAAGUAGAUGUGCUGACGUUUGAAUUGGGAACCUUGACCUUCUCCUCAUGAAUUUCGUGGACAUUGGGUCUUACUAUGUUUUGCCUUAAACAAGUUAUAUGUAUAGUGCAAAGUUGGUUUUA